rnacentral:misc_RNA from 1 species
GUAGGUGAACCUGCGGAAGGAUCAUUACAACGUAUCCACGUACAAACUCGCGAACUGUUCCCCUGUAGAGUAAACAACUUGUGGAUGAAGUUAAUGGCUGAGAUCUCUUUCUGAUGGAUUUCUGGAUUUUUAUCUGGACCUGGGAGAUCUCAGUCGCUGGCAAGAAAUUGCUGGGACUUCGUUUACUCUGCUGCGGUAUUGCCUCCCAUCAGAGGUGUUGUAUUAACCAAUUUAUUAACCCCAUGUAAAU